rnacentral:rRNA from 1 species
UACGGAGGGUGCAAGCGUUGUCCGGAUUUAUUGGGUUUAAAGGGUGCGCAGGUGGGCAUUUAAGUCUGGUUUGAAAGCAGGUGGCUCAACCAUCUGAUGUGGCUGGAAACUGGAUAUCUUGAAUGGGUUGGCGGUAGCCGGAAUGGGUCAUGUAGCGGUGAAAUGCAUAGAUAUGACCCGGAACACCGAUUGCGAAGGCAGGCUACUACGACUUGAUUGACACUGAGGCACGAGAGCAUGGGUAGCGAACAGG